GAUGAACGCUAGCGGGAGGCUUAAUACAUGCAAGUCGGACGGUAACAUUGGAGCUUGCUCCAGAUGACGAGUGGCGCACGGGUGAGUAACGCGUACACGACCUACCUUAAACUGGGGGACAUAUACUGGAAACGGAGUAAAUACCCCAUGUGAUUAAUAUAUCUAGAAGGAUUAAUUAAAGCUUCGGCGGUUUAAGAUGGGUGUGCGUACUAUUAGAUAGUUGGUGAGGUAACGGCUCACCAAGUCGACGAUAGUUAGGGGGCGUGAGAGCGUGACCCCCACACGGGUACUGAGACACGGACCCG
rnacentral:rRNA from 1 species